GGAGAGGCUGAGGGAUUUGGGCUUGUUUAGUCUGCAGAAGAGAAGAAUGAGGGGGGAUUUGAUCAGAAGCGCUUUCUAAAAUGGGAUGUUGUGAUCCAGGGACUUCUCAGUGCAAACUGGAAGAGAGCACCAGGGAGAGCCCAGGGUUUUAGAGGGAUCCCCUUUCAGAUAUGUGCAUAACAGUUCACAGAAGAGUGCAGGUGAGUUCUCUACCGAGAGCCGGUAAUCAGCCCACUGGCCACUGUCAUCAUUGCAAAAUGUGGAGAGGACAAUGGUUGGAAAACAGCCUCGUCUGGAGAAGAAGACAGUGGGGCCUGUGAGGAGCUCUCUGAUUUAGAUUGAGGAGAGUGCUGCUGUGACUCCGUCUUCAGCCAAGGACGGUAGAAAAGGAAUGGAGGGAGGCUCGUACCGCGCGCGCGUCUAACUGACGAAACCAGCACGAGUUGGGGACUGCGCAGGCGCGGGGCGGAAAGGCACUACUGAGCAAAACUCUGAUCAGCGGAGUGAGGACGCACUGAGACCUGAGUGGAGCACCCACAGGGAUACCACUCAAAGGAGAAAUCAUCUCCCCCCACCCGCCCAGCUGCUAUUGGGUAUAGGGGCACCAGUUGAAUAGUAUUGAGUAGGGCCCCAUAAAACCCAAGGACAGCCCGGCCCCCACUAUUAAAAGGGUUCCAGCUCCAUUGAUGAGGUUUCCUUAUGCUAAAAGCAGGUAGGGGCGAUGUGUCUUACAACCCUGGCUACCCCGGAAGUGUCACAUGCCUAUUUCCUCUUCCCCCAACCCGACUUGAUUGUUUUCUAUGAUUCUCUUGGUUGACUUACAUUUCUCUAACUUAAUGGUCAGAGUCUCCUCAUGGGCCCUUGAGUAAUUCCAUUGAUUUCCAGGGGGUUGGGCCAGACGUACACCAGUUUUACUGAGGUUGGAAUUUGGCCCUUAGUUUGUUCCAGACAGCAGUUCCAUCUGUGACAGGCUGUUUGCCCUGCACUGGCCCUUGAAGGGCAAAACUCCAGCCCUAAGAGAGGGCUGAGAGUGAGGGCCCAGCUGGGGGCUGUAUAAAGAAGGACUCCUGGAGGG